rnacentral:rRNA from 1 species
CAGUCGCCGCGGGAAUACGAAGGGGGCUAGCGUUGCUCGGAAUGACUGGGCGUAAAGGGCGCGUAGGCGGUUCGUACAGUUGGAUGUGAAAUUCCUGGGCUUAACCUGGGGGCUGCAUUCAAUACGUGCGGGCUUGAGUGUGGAAGAGGGUUGUGGAAUUCCCAGUGUAGAGGUGAAAUUCGUAGAUAUUGGGAAGAACACCGGUGGCGAAGGCGGCAACCUGGUCCAUAACUGACGCUGAGGCGCGAAAGCGUGGGGAGCAAACAGGAUUAGAUACCCCAGUAGUCCCUGUCUCUUAUAC